UAUUUUUAGAGUUGGAAAGGA
rnacentral:piRNA from 1 species